rnacentral:ncRNA from 3 species
UACGAAGGGUGCAAGCGUUAAUCGGAAUUACUGGGCGUAAAGCGUGCGUAGGCGGUUAUUUAAGUCUGUUGUGAAAUCCCCGGGCUCAACCUGGGAAUGGCAAUGGAUACUGGAUAGCUAGAGUGUGAUAGAGGAUGGUGGAAUUCCCGGUGUAGCGGUGAAAUGCGUAGAGAUCGGGAGGAACAUCAGUGGCGAAGGCGGCCAUCUGGAUCAACACUGACGCUGAGGCACGAAAGCGUGGGGAGCAAACAGG